rnacentral:lncRNA from 1 species
AAAAUAUAAGAAAUAGAAAUAAACAUUUUAAAAAAUGAAAAAAGUAUAUUAAGAUUUAAGCAUCUAUCUUAAAAUGUACUUCUAUCUUAAAAUGGUAGUAAAUUAUAUAAAAAAUGGAAAUACCACAUUAAACAAAAAAAAUGUAUAGUGUUACAUCAAGAAAGUCCCUAUAAAAUUUAUUAUUCCAUCCACAUCAACCUCACACUAUUAAGGAAAA